UCCUAGAAAAAACACAAACUGUAAUUAUUUGUUCUCUUGAGUAUAAUCUGACUCCUCCAUUAGAAUAAACCCUCUGAGGCAGCAACGUGGUCUCAGUGUUUCUGCCCCAGUGCUUGAAACAAACAUGGUGUGAGGGAGAAGCGCAGUAAAUAGUUCUUCCCGGCAAGCUUUGGGGUGCAAAUAGUCACAUUUUUCCCUCCACACGUGGGGUCUUUCCCUCUCUCUCUAGUUGAUCCUUGUUAUUUAUGGAUUUCUUAUUUGUAAAUCGACCUACUCUCCAUUUAUUUAUAACCCUCAAAUCAAUACUUUCGAGUAUGCGGAGAAGUGCAAAGUGUGUACCUUCAGUGCACAGGCUCAGCCGAAGGAGUUGGCGCUCUGCCUUCUGGGUUCAGCUCACCCUGCAAGCGUUUUUUCAGUUUAUUUAGUGCCACUUUUUUUUCACAUUUUUUUCUGCUUUUUGUUGGCGAUUUCACUGUUUAAAAUGGCCUCAAGCACAGUGUGGCAGUGCUGCUCAGUGUUCCUAAGAGCAAGAAGGCUGCGAGGUGCCUUUCGGAGGAGAAAACGCACUGGACGAGUGUUACUUACUCUAUGGUACGUGCUAAACAAGAUGGCGCCCUAACCCUAAGGGCGGUUUUAAGUGUGUGUGUGAGGAAGUCUGCCAGGAUUGCCUUUAUGACUCCUGCGUUUGUUUCUUCUGUAUUUUAUUAACACAGGUUAAAGGCUUUCUUCAAUCUCUACUAAAACAAUAUAUACGUCUCUGUUUUCACUAGCUUUUAAAAAGUGAGUCUUUUAAUUCAUCUGGGAUAUUUUCUGGUGCGGCAUAGCAUAGGAAACCACUGAAUUUAAGCAAUAGUCAGGAACAUAUAAAACAAAGUUAUGUAUUCAUGGUUUGAUGAAAAAGCUGUGUCUUGGGGCUCACGGGAACCUAACCCUGUCUUUCCUGCGUGAGUGAUGGUUCACUAUUCACCAAUUCAAUGUUUGUGGUGGAAAAAAAAUGACAUUCUAAGCCCCUGAGCUGACUAAAUGGACUCCUUCUUAGCCAAGGGAGCCCAGAGAAAUUUUAAAAACUGAGUUCCUGGCCCUGAUGGGAUGGGGAGGUUGGACACACACUUGCUAAUCGCCAUUAGACUUUCUUACCCGAGGGUUAAACAGAAGCCAAAGCCCUUUCAAAAGUCUUGCCAGACUUCCCUUCUGCGGUUUUGACACAAUGAUGAAUCAGCGUUCCUUCCUGAUAAGAGCCCACAGUCAGACUGACUGUGGACUGACUCUGGCCGGUGUUCAGUGGCUGCACACAGAUGCCUGUGUCCUCAGCUCAUCUUCGGACAUAUAAAGCCGAAUUUUAGUGCAUUUAAAUGUUAAGUGCUCACCCCAAACUGAAUGUGGACAUUCAUGCAUAUUUGCUUUCUAUGAAUAGUCAUAGUUCCACCUAUAACCUGUUAGAUAUGUAUACUUCGCCAUCCCACGUGGCAUAAAUUCCUGUUCCGUCCUUUCCUCCCUCAAAGUGCCGGCUUUUGGUUUCUGCUUCCCAGCCUGCAAGAUAGCCAGCCUGCAGGCUGCAACCCUUUGUGAGAAAUAAAGCUCUCCUCUCCAGAUGUACGAAUCUUGUGAUUCUUCAGCUGACUUCACAAAACACAACUACGUAGGUGACAGAAAACCCCAGAGAGAAAUGGCUUGAACAAUGAAAGGACUGCAGGCGAGACUUGGUCUAGCCCCGGAAUCCAGUUUUCCUUCGUUUAUCUGGUUUGCCUUGUGUAUUAUUAGCCUCUUGUCUGACACCAUUGGUUCUAGUUGGGCUGCAAGCCCGUCCUUGAAGUCAUUGCUCUUAUCAGGAAGAUGGGAAAUGCUGACUGAUUUAAGCAGCAUCAUCUUUCUCCAGUUAUGUGCAGAGGACACAGUAGUCCCUGAGAGGCCACCUGGGGCACUGCUGUCGGAAGAUAGAACCGAUUCUGCCUGUUGCCUUACCUGCCAUUCCCUCAGCCCCUCCAGCCUCCUUUCCACCACUCCUCUUUAGUUCCUCCAACCCAGUCAAAAUUCUAUUCACCCUUUUGGGUCUCUCCCAAAUGCCUGUGUGCCUGAGACAUAGUGUGCACCCAAUAAAUUUGUGUUGAGUGAAUGAAAUUCCCUCUUCGAGAAGCCUUUCCUGACAGUACUGAUAAAGCAACUCCUGCCUUCUCCCGACUCCCACCGGUGGUUUUUGUCUUGCUUAUGGCAUUUAGUGUCUCUUUGCUGUUACAUGCUCCUGAUCUCUUCAUUAAACUAUCCAAUACUUCA